UAGCCCGCCAGUCUAGUAGGCAGCAUUCGCGCCUCCUGUGCCUUCUUUCUCCUUGUGGUCUUUCUUCUGAAACAAAGAAGAAAGAGUCAGAUCAGACCUGCCCUCUUGGAAAUGUGGUCCAGAUUGCUCUACUCCCAAGCUCCAAACAG
rfam:Sorex araneus cont1.152166, whole genome shotgun sequence.